GCCCGGAUGGUCUAGUAGUAUGAUUCCUUGUUAGGGCUUUCACAAGCAUCGAGGAGGUCCUGGGUUCAAUUCCCAGUUCGGGCC